CUACGGGUCGCAGCAGUGAGGAAUUUUGCGCAAUGGGGGAAACCCUGACGCAGCAACGCCGCGUGAGCGAAGAAGGCCCUCGGGUCGUAAAGCUCUGUCAAGUGGGAAAAAAAUCUUUUGAUCAAUAGUCAAAAGACUUGAUGGUACCACUGGAGGAAGCACCGGCUAACUCCGUGCCAGCAGCCGCGGUAAUACGGAGGGUGCAAGCGGUGUUCGGAUUUACUGGGCGUAAAGAGCGUGUAGGCGGUUUAGCAAGUCAGAUGUGAAAGCCCUGGGCUCAACCCGGGAAGUGCAUUUGAAACUGCUUCACUAGAGUAUGGGAGAGGAGAUUGGAAUUCCUGGUGUAGAGGUGAAAUUCGUAGAUAUCAGGAGGAACACCCGUGGCGAAGGCGAUUCUCUGGACCAAUACUGACGCUGAGACGCGAAAGCGUGGGGAGCAAACAGGAUUAGAUACCCGGGUAGUC
rnacentral:rRNA from 1 species